UACAGAGGGGGCAAGCGUUAUUCGGAAUUAUUGGGCGUAAAGGGCGCGUAGGCGGCUUGGCAAGUGGAUGGUGAAAUCCCUCGGCUUAACCGAGGAACUGCCGCCCAAACUGCUUCGCUUGAGACCGGGAGAGGUGAGUGGAAUUCCCAGUGUAGCGGUGAAAUGCGUAGAUAUUGGGAGGAACACCAGUGGCGAAGGCGGCUCACUGGACCGGUACUGACGCUGAUGCGCGAAAGCGUGGGGAGCAAACGGG
rnacentral:rRNA from 1 species